ACUCCUCGGGAGGCAGCAGUGGGGAAUAUUGCACAAUGGGCGCAAGCCUGAUGCAGCCAUGCCGCGUGUAUGAAGAAGGCCUUCGGGUUGUAAAGUACUUUCAGCAGUGAGGAAGGUGGAUAUGUUAAUAGCAUAUUCAUUUGACGUUAGCUGCAGAAGAAGCACCGGCUAACUCCGUGCCAGCAGCCGCGGUAAUACGGAGGGUGCGAGCGUUAAUCGGAAUUACUGGGCGUAAAGCGCAUGCAGGUGGUUUGUUAAGUCAGAUGUGAAAGCCCGGGGCUCAACCUCGGAAUUGCAUUUGAAACUGGCAAACUAGAGUACUGUAGAGGGGGGUAGAAUUUCAGGUGUAGCGGUGAAAUGCGUAGAGAUCUGAAGGAUACCGGUGGCGAAGGCGGCCCCCUGGACAGAUACUGACACUCAGAUGCGAAAGCGUGGGGAGCAAACAGGAUUAGAUACCAUGGUAGGCUCU
rnacentral:rRNA from 1 species